UACGUAGGGUGCGAGCGUUGUCCGGAAUUACUGGGCGUAAAGAGCUCGUAGGUGGUUUGUCGCGUUGUUCGUGAAAACUCACAGCUCAACUGUGGGCGUGCGGGCGAUACGGGCAGACUGGAGUACUGCAGGGGAGACUGGAAUUCCUGGUGUAGCGGUGGAAUGCGCAGAUAUCAGGAGGAAUACCGGUGGCGAAGGCGGGUCUCUGGGCAGUAACUGACGCUGAGGAGCGAAAGCGUGGGGAGCGAACAGG
rnacentral:rRNA from 1 species